UGCAAACACUAUUGUAUUUAUUCUUUCUCUUUUAAUGCUUUGCACUUAACCUGAAUGGCUUCUUUUAUGUGUUCAGUUUGACAGAACAGGAUAUAGAAAGCAUCAUUUGAUUUUUAAAUUUCCAUUCCUGGGUAGAUGUUUUAGUUAUUAAAAAAAUAGCUCAACCCUAUUUGUUUGAGACAUAUAUGCAGGUAAAUGGGUACAUCUAUCUAUCUAUCUAUCUAUCUAUCUAUCUAUCUAUCUAUCUAUCUAUCUAUCUAUCUAUUUAUUUAUUUUGUCCUUCUGUCUCCCUGUCCACAUUUGUGCUUAUAGAUCUGUGUCUCCGGAGAUCCAUUCGCUCAGCCAUCAGAUUAAGCAGACACCCAUGGUUUACAAUGGUGAUGACCUGGGCAAGAGGUCGCCAAUAAGGAGCAAAGGGACCCGCCUGCCACUCUUAAGCACAGUGCCUGCUGAAUCAGGAUUUCCAAGGCUACGGCCGAGUGCCUGACUGGGGGCUGUGUGUGCAGAUGCCACGAGACGGACAAGACUGAGGAUGCAGGCGAGCAUUUCUCGGUGCAGUCAGGGGUGGGAGAAGCCUGUGGCUUCCAGAAACCCAGCUUUGCCUUUGAAGGCAGAACUCAGAGAACUGCUGGCUGGAGGGGGCCAGGGUCUUUUCCUCCUUUCUAUUUACCCCCGAAAGCCUUUUCUGUGGUGUUUAUAUCACUGUCAGCCUGAGUCUACCCCAACAAUAGGUGUCUGAGACAGCUGUGGGCCCAGUUCCUACAGCUGGGGUUGAUUUGUACCAGCAGGUAUAGACUGAUCCCGUUCAAAAUCGAAACUCUGGCCUCACUAAAAUCUUUCACAGCUCAUAUAGUUUUAAUACACACACACACACACACACAUACACACACACAUACACACACACACACACUCUUAGUUACAAAUCACCCAUUCUUGAGCAGCAUAGAUCACUCUCUGGAUGGGUUAUCUUUAUCUUGCUCCUGUUAGUAGGUGUGUGCUUCCCCCAGCUCCCACCCCACCCCAGAUGGCUGCUGGCAGCAAGGCCUCAGCCUGUUUCCCAUGUGCAGGGAUUAUAAAAUAGACCUCUGGGUGACUUGUUUUAGGGCAACUUUCCGUACAGUGCCUAGACUCGUUUAAAUAUCUUUUAUUACAUCGAAGAAGUCACCCUCCACAGCAGUCCUGGGGAACCAGGCCAUCACCCAGAGUUAUAGCAUCACUUAUAUAUUAAAAUGUUAAUAAGCAUAAAACUAUGCAAAGGUAGACUUGUGGUGUUGUCAGUCUCACCUCACCUGUAGGGAACAAGGGAACAGAUGUGCCACUCUUGUGUGUAUUAAUAUCUUUUCUCAAAGGAAUAUUAACCCAGAAGGAAACAAAUAGGCAUAAUUAUAUCUAGGCAUAAUGACAUAUAUAUUGAAUACUACUACUUUUGUCAGUAUUAUGCAACCACAUUUAUCCUAACUGACCAUU
rnacentral:lncRNA from 1 species